GGGAGAGCUUUUAGAGAGUGAAGGUUUUUUGAGAGUGAAAUUUGCUCGUGCCCUCUUCCUUGAACAUAAUUACGUAUUUAUAGGCAAAGAGUGCUUGAAUAAAGUCUUGCAACGUGUCGUCUUCUAGUGGUGCCGACACUUGAUUUAAUACGUGUUGAGUCUUGAGUGGUGCCGACAAUUGCUGUCAAAAACUGUUGUUGUUUUGUGCAGAAGUCUUCGUGUGGGUCCCAUGUGGGUCCCGCCAUUGUCGGUUGGAUUCUUUCUCGAAAUUCUUGCAUAGCUUUUUCGCGAGUCUUGUUAUACAGAUAUACUCUGUAUAUUAUUUUGUAGAUAGUAGUAAUAAAAUACAGAGAAGAAAAUACAGAAAUAAUGUACAGAGUCUACUAGAAUAUACUUAAAACCGAAAUUGUAAAUAUAGACAUACUUUUAGGUUAUAACGAUUUUAGUAUAACGAUUCCUUAAUAAUUUGUUUUAAUUAUUGUAACGUUAUUACUAUUUUGAUAUACAAAAUUUUAGAAUUUGAUAUUUAUAAGAAUUUGAGCGUUGUACACAGAAUAUGAUUAAAACUUACUUUUAUUUAUCUUGAGUUGUGAUACAAUCUUUGAUACAAAAUUACAAACUUAAAACUUAGAAAACACAGGAAAUUUUAGAGAGAAGGGAGAGCUUUUAGAGAGUGAAGGUUUUUUGAGAGUGAAAUUUGCUCGUGCCCUCUUCCUUGAACAUAAUUACGUAUUUAUAGGCAAAGAGUGCUUGAAUAAAGUCUUGCAACGUGUCGUCUUCUAGUGGUGCCGACACUUGAUUUAAUACGUGUUGAGUCUUGAGUGGUGCCGACAAUUGCUGUCAAAAACUGUUGUUGUUUUGUGCAGAAGUCUUCGUGUGGGUCCCAUGUGGGUCCCGCC
rnacentral:lncRNA from 1 species